GACGAACGCUGGCGGCGUGCUUAACACAUGCAAGUCGAGCGGUAAGGCCCUUUCGGGGUACGACGAGCGGCGAACGGGUGAGUAACACGUGGGUGACCUGCCCUCCAGCUCUGGGAGUAAGCCUGGGAAACCGGGUACUAAUACCGGAUAUGACUCCAUGACGCAUGUUGUGGGGUGGAAAGCCUUGUGCGGCUGAGGAUGGGCCCGCGGCCUAUCAGCUUGUUGGUGGGGUGANGGCCUACCAAGGCGACGACGGGUAGCCGGCCUGAGAGGGCGACCGGCCACACUGGGACUGAGACACGGCCCAGACUCCUACGGGAGGCAGCAGCGGGGAAUCUUGCGCAAUGGGCGAAAGCCUGACGCAGCGACGCCGCGUGAGGGAUGACGGCCU
rnacentral:rRNA from 1 species